CUAAUGUCGAGGGGAUGAAAAAGAACACCAGGUGAUGCGAUGCUGCAAAGCUCAGGUUAAUUUAGGAGGCCAAGCAAGGGACCAGCUCUGCCAGAAAUAGCUUUUCACACAUGCACAGCCUGUCAGCUGCCACCUCUCCUCCCCAAUACCUCAACUGGAUCUGGGAGGGCAGUUGUGGCAGUGAUUAACCUGACAUCUUUUGCCUGGAAUUAGAAAAUAUAUUUCAAAUGGGAAUUCAGAAGUGCAAGUAAUGAAGUAUUAUGAGUACAGAUGACUCUUAAAGGUCACAACCUUUCUUUUGGGAAACAUCCUGCAGACUGGAAGCAUCCAGUCUUCAUUGGAAGCACUCCACAGAGGGCUGAAGACGAAAACAAGCUCAGAAAAUGUGGAAUGGGAGAGGAAGGUCUGUGUCCUGUACACCUGUGGGUUUUGAUCAGAACCAGAUGGCCAUCAGCA
ensembl:lncRNA